GUUAUAUGGUCAAGCGAAUAAGCGCACACGGUGGAUGCCUAGGCGGUCAGAGGCGAUGAAGGACGUGGUAGCCUGCGAAAAGUGUCGGGGAGCUGGCAACAAGCUUUGAUCCGGCAAUAUCCGAAUGGGGAAACCCACUGCUUCGGCAGUAUCUUGCAGUGAAUUCAUAGCUGCUUGAAGCGAACCCGGUGAACUGAAAUAUCUAAGUAACCGGAGGAAAAGAAAUCAACCGAGAUUCCCUGAGUAGUGACGAGCGAACGGGGAACAGCCCUUAAGCUGGAAUGGCUUUAGAAAAACAAUCUGGAAAGAUUGGCCAUAGAAGGUGAUAGCCCUGUAUUUAAAAGGGCCACUCCAGUGAAGACGAGUAGGGCGGGGCACGUGAAACCCUGUCUGAAUAUGGGGGGACCAUCCUCCAAGGCUAAAUACUCCUGACCGACCGAUAGUGAACCAGUACCGUGAGGGAAAGGCGAAAAGAACCCCGGAGAGGGGAGUGAAAUAGAUCCUGAAACCGUGUGCGUACAAGCAGUAGGAGCUCGCAAGAGUGACUGCGUACCUUUUGUAUAAUGGGUCAGCGACUUACUGUUCGUGGCAAGCUUAACCGUAUAGGGGAGGCGAAGGGAAACCGAGUCUGAUAAGGGCGCAUAGUCGCGGGCAGUAGACCCGAAACCGGGUGAUCUAGUCAUGGCCAGGGUGAAGGUGCCGUAACAGGUACUGGAGGCCCGAACCCACGUCUGUUGCAAAAGACGGGGAUGAGCUGUGAUUAGGAGUGAAAAGCUAAUCGAACCCGGAGAUAGCUGGUUCUCCUCGAAAGCUAUUUAGGUAGCGCCUCGGACGAAUACUACUGGGGGUAGAGCACUGUUAUGGCUAGGGGGUCAUCGCGACUUACCAAACCAUUGCAAACUCCGAAUACCAGUACGUACUAUCCGGGAGACACACGGCGGGUGCUAACGUCCGUCGUGAAAAGGGAAACAACCCAGACCCACAGCUAAGGUCCCAAAUUCACUGCUAAGUGGAAAACGAUGUGGAAAGGCAUAGACAGCCAGGAGGUUGGCUUAGAAGCAGCCACCCUUUAAAGAAAGCGUAAUAGCUCACUGGUCGAGUCGGUCUGCGCGGAAGAUUUAACGGGGCUAAGCAGUGAACCGAAGCUUGGGGUGCGUAAAACUUCGGUUUUAUGCGCGGUAGAGGAGCGUUCCGUAAGCCUGCGAAGGUGGAUUGAGAAGUCUGCUGGAGGUAUCGGAAGUGCGAAUGCUGACAUGAGUAACGAUAAUGCGGGUGAAAAGCCCGCACGCCGAAAGCCCAAGGUUUCCUUGCGCAACGUUAAUCGACGCAGGGUUAGUCGGUCCCUAAGGCGAGGGCGAAAGCCGUAGUCGAUGGGAAGCAGGUUAAUAUUCCUGCACCUCGCGUGAGUGCGAUGGAGGGACGGAGAAGGUUAGGUGUACCGGGCGUUGGUUGUCCCGGGGAAAGGCGGUAGGUUUGGAUCUUUGGCAAAUCCGGGAUCCUUUAAGACCGAGCACCGAGACGAGCCUUUAUGGCGAAGUCACUGAUACCACGCUUCCAGGAAAAGCUCCUAAGCUUCAGCUCACGAAGACCGUACCGUAAACCGACACAGGUGGGUAGGAUGAGAAUUCUCAGGCGCUUGAGAGAACUCGGGUGAAGGAACUAGGCAACAUGGCACCGUAACUUCGGGAGAAGGUGCACCCUUUUUGGUGGCUCAUGCGAGCUAUAGCUGAAGAGGGUCGCAGAAACCAGGCCGCUGCGACUGUUUAUCAAAAACACAGCACUCUGCAAACACGAAAGUGGACGUAUAGGGUGUGACGCCUGCCCGGUGCUGGAAGGUUAAUUGAUGGGGUCAGCCGCAAGGCGAAGCUCUUGAUCGAAGCCCCAGUAAACGGCGGCCGUAACUAUAACGGUCCUAAGGUAGCGAAAUUCCUUGUCGGGUAAGUUCCGACCUGCACGAAUGGCGUAACGACAGCGGCGCUGUCUCCACCCGAGACUCAGUGAAAUUGAAAUCGCUGUGAAGAUGCAGCGUUCCCGUGGCAAGACGGAAAGACCCCGUGAACCUUUACUAUAGCUUUACACUGAACGUUGAGUUCGUCUGUGUAGGAUAGGUGGGAGGCUAUGAAACUGUGGCGCUAGCUGCAGUGGAGCCAACCUUGAAAUACCACCCUGUCGUGCUUGACGUUCUAACCUAGAUCCGUUAUCCGGAUCAGGGACCGUGUAUGGUGGGUAGUUUGACUGGGGCGGUCUCCUCCUAAAGAGUAACGGAGGAGCACGAAGGUACGCUCAGCGCGGUCGGACAUCGCGCACUGUGUGCAAAGGCAUAAGCGUGCUUGACUGCAAGAUCGACGGAUCAAGCAGGUACGAAAGUAGGUCUUAGUGAUCCGGUGGUUCUGUAUGGAAGGGCCAUCGCUCAACGGAUAAAAGGUACUCCGGGGAUAACAGGCUGAUACCGCCCAAGAGUUCAUAUCGACGGCGGUGUUUGGCACCUCGAUGUCGGCUCAUCACAUCCUGGGGCUGUAGUCGGUCCCAAGGGUAUGGCUGUUCGCCMUUUAAAGUGGUACGCGAGCUGGGUUCAGAACGUCGUGAGACAGUUCGGUCCCUAUCUGCCAUGGGCGUUGGAAGUUUGAGAGGGGCUGCUCCUAGUACGAGAGGACCGGAGUGGACGAACCUCUGGUGUUCCGGUUGUCACGCCAGUGGCAUUGCCGGGUAGCUAUGUUCGGAAGCGAUAACCGCUGAAAGCAUCUAAGCGGGAAGCGCGCCUCAAGAUGAGACUUCCCGGGGCACAAGCCCCCUAAAGGAACCAUAUAGACUAUGUGGUUGAUAGGUCAGGUGUGUAAGUACAGCAAUGUAUUGAGCUAACUGAUACUAAUGAUCCGUGCGGCUUGACCAUAUAACCUCA
rnacentral:rRNA from 1 species